UACGUAGGGGGCAAGCGUUGUCCGGAUUUAUUGGGCGUAAAGAGCGUGUAGGCGGCUUGGUAGGUCCGCUGUGAAAACUCGAGGCUCAACCUCGAGACGCCGAUGGAAACCAUUUGGCUAGAGUCCGGAAGAGGAGAGUGGAAUUCCUGGUGUAGCGGUGAAAUGCGCAGAUAUCAGGAAGAACACCCGUGGCUAAGGCGGCUCUCUAGUACGGUACUGACGCUGAGACGCGAAAGCGUGGGGAGCGAACAGG
rnacentral:rRNA from 1 species